UGGCAAACGUGGAAGCCGAGA
rnacentral:miRNA from 1 species